AGUCAGGUAGUUUGACUCCGUGGCUACAGGACGAACGCUGGCGGCGUGCUUAACACAUGCAAGUCGAACGGAAAGGCCCAGCUUUGCUGGGUACUCGAGUGGCGAACGGGUGAGUAACACGUGGGUGAUCUGCCCUGAACUCUGGGAUAAGCCUGGGAAACUGGGUCUAAUACCGGAUAUGACCACAUGUCGCAUGGUGUGUGGUGGAAAGCUUUUGCGGUUUGGGAUGGGCCCGCGGCCUAUCAGCUUGUUGGUGGGGUAAUGCCUACCAAGGCGACGACGGGUAGCCGACCUGAGAGGGUGAUCGGCCACACUGGGACUGAGACACGGCCCAG
rnacentral:rRNA from 1 species